rnacentral:lncRNA from 1 species
CGUAGCAGCUUUGCUCUGACUCGGCACCAACUCCUAAAAGGCUACAGUUGACGAGCGGCAAGAGGCAGAACAAACAUGCCUUCUCAAUCAGAAGUUUGUGUAUUCGUCAAAUAGACUGAUAUCUAAAUAGAAAUAGUUAUAUACAGCAUCCACCUUCACAUCCAGAGUGUUUUGUAGACAGGAUAAGGGUCAUUACAUUCUUUAACUCAGAUCUCAAGGAUCAGACAAACGGACUGACUAGGCAAGUCAGUUAAGAAUCAAUUCUUAUUUACAAUGACGGUCUACCGGGGAACAGUGGGUUAACUGCCUUGUUCAGGGGGCAGAAUGACAUAUUUUGACCUUGUCAGCUCAGGGAUUCAAUCCAGUAACCGAAUCCCUAGUGAACUCCCUGUCCUGGCCGAAGUCUAUGAAUCCCUAGUGAACUCCCUGUCCUGGCCGAAGUCUAUGAAUCCCUAGUGAACUCCCUGUCCUGGCCAAAGUCUAUGAAUCCCUAGUGAACUCCCUAUCCUGGCCAAAGUCUAUGAAUCCCUAGUGAACUCCCUAUCCUGGCCAAAGUCUAUGAAUCCCCAGUGAACUCCCUAUCUUUGCCAAAGUCGAUGAAUCCCUAGUGAACUCACAGUUAAACAAUUUCUUAAUUGAGUAGAACAUACUGAGCAGGGUUCAGUCUGGCUUUAGAUCGGGACACAGCACCACAACUGCAGCUAUGGCAAACAUUAAGGGACUUGAUAAAAAAACAAGAUUGUGCUGCUCUGUUUGUGGAUGUACAGGUAGUUUGUUCUAACCUCUCCUCUCUGUCAGGAUGUACAGUAGUUUCUUCUAACAUUUCCUCUCUCUGUCAGGAUGUACAGGUAGUUUGUUGUAACCUCUCCUCUCUGUCAGGAUGUACAGUAGUUUCUUGUAACCUCUCCUCUCUCUGUCAGGAUGUACAGUAGUUUCUUCUAACCUCUCCUCUCUGUCAGGAUGUACAGGUAGUUUGUUCUAACCUCUCCUCUCUGUCAGGAUGUACAGUAGUUUAUUCUAACCUCUCCUCUCUCUGUCAGGAUGUACAGGUAGUUUGUUGUAACCUCUCCUCUCUGUCAGGAUGUACAGUAGUUUCUUGUAACCUCUCCUGUACAUCCUGACAGAGAGAGGAGAGGUUACAAGAAACUACCU